rnacentral:rRNA from 1 species
GGCUUAUUGAUAGAAGAUUUUAAGUCUAUCCUGCCCCCUGAUAAUAAUUAAAUGGCCGCAGUAUUUUGACUGUGCUAAGGUAGCAUAAUAAUUAGUUUUUUAAUUGGAAGCUGGUAUGAAUGGUAUGAUGAGAAAAUUACUGUCUCUAUUAAAAAGUUAAAAUUUUAUUUUUAAGUUAAAAAGCUUAAAUAUUAUUAAAAGACGAGAAGACCCUAUAGAAUUUUAUUUAAAUUUAUUUUAUAUUAAUAAAGUAUUUAAAAUUUAAAAAUAAGUUUAUAUUUAGUUGGGGUGAUUAGAAAAAUUAAGUAUCUUUUUUUUAUAAUAACAUUGAUUUAUGAUUGUAUGAUUCGUAUUAAUGAUUUAAGAAUAAAUUACCUUAGGGAUAACAGCGUAAUUUUUUUUUAGAGUUCUAAUCAAAAAAAAAGAUUGCGACCUCGAUGUUGGAUUAAAAU